UGACCAUAAGUACUAAAGAAACCCUAGUCAAUUAGUAGAUAUGCAUUGCCAGAGCAUACUACCUCAACCAACCUCUGAAUCUUCAUAUUCUCACUCCUUGAAAGAACUGCCACUUGUGAGCGUGGUGUUUGAAUACCAAGAUUCAUGGUCCCAAUCCUCUUAAAUGAUGUAGAAAUCAAGUUACCCCAUUAUUAACUUCUAACAUCUAGGGGACUUGUCUUCCA
rnacentral:lncRNA from 1 species